UACGGAGGGGGCAAGCGUUAUUCGGAAUUAUUGGGCGUAAAGGGCGCGUAGGCGGCUAGAUGUGUCAAAGGUGAAAUCCCUCGGCUCAACUGAGGAACUGCCUUUGAAACUGUCUGGCUUGAGGCCGGGAGAGGGUAGCGGAAUUCCCAGUGUAGCGGUGAAAUGCGUAGAUAUUGGGAGGAACACCAGUGGCGAAGGCGGCUACCUGGACCGGUUCUGACGCUGCGGCGCGACAGCGUGGGGAGCAAACAGG
rnacentral:rRNA from 1 species